AGAGUUUGAUCCUGGCUCAGGAUGAACGCUGACAGAAUGCUUAACACAUGCAAGUCGAUGGGGAAGUGGUGCUUGCACCAUGGUAACCAUGGCGGACGGGUGAGUAACGCGUAAGGAACUUGCCUGCGGGACCGGGAUAACAGCAGGAAACUGCUGACAAGACCGGAUAAGGUCAUGAAGCUGCAUAGCUUAGUGAUGAAAGGAGACGCCUGCGGAGAGCCUUGCGUCCUAUUAGCUAGUUGGAGGGGUAACGGCCCACCAAGGCGAAGAUAGGUAGCCGGCCUGAGAGGGUGGACGGCCACAAGGGGACUGAGAUACGGCCCUUACUCCUACGGGAGGCAGCAGUGGGGAAUAUUGGACAAUGGGGGCAACCCUGAUCCAGCAAUUCUGUGUGCACGAAGACGGUUUUCGGAUUGUAAAGUGCUUUCAGCAGGGAAGAAGGAAGUGACGGUACCUGCAGAAGAAGCGACGGCUAAAUACGUGCCAGCAGCCGCGGUAAUACGUAUGUCGCGAGCGUUAUCCGGAAUUAUUGGGCAUAAAGGGCAUCUAGGCGGCCUUUCAAGUCAGGGGUGAAAACCUGCGGCUCAACCGCAGGCCUGCCUUUGAAACUGAUAGGCUGGAGUACCGGAGAGGUGGACGGAACUGCACGAGUAGAGGUGAAAUUCGUAGAUAUGUGCAGGAAUGCCGAUGAUGAAGAUAGUUCACUGGACGGUAACUGACGCUGAAGUGCGAAAGCCGGGGGAGCAAACAGGAUUAGAUACCCUGGUAGUCCCGGCCGUAAACGAUGAUUACUGGGUGUGGGCAGGAAGACUGUCUGUGCCGAAGCGAAUGCGAUAAGUAAUCCGCCUGGGGAGUACGGCCGCAAGGCUGAAACUCAAAGGAAUUGACGGGGACCCG
rnacentral:rRNA from 1 species